CUCAGCGGGCGGGGGGAAAGCAGCUAGUUGUAGUAGCUCUUCGUGUGGAUUGGACAUUUCAAAGAAGAGAAACCGUAGCUAGCUAGCUCACCCAGUACAGUAGUAGUACUACCAGCGUGGUACAGUAACUCCAGAGAGAAAGAGCGAGCCGAGAGCUCUCUUUCCACGCUCUCUCUGUCUACAUAUCUCUCUCUGCUUGUUGAAACUUUCGAGUGGGUGGCCGGGUUGGCGGGUUGCAGCUGCCCUUUGCAAGGGAAGGAAGAAGAAAGGGAAACAGAGAGGGCCGGGGAAAAGAAAAUACAGACACAGUACAGGUGAGGGGAAAUUUACAGCUGCUCGAUCCGGCCUCAUCUCGUGUCUCUCCGCUGCAUGUGUGUGUGAUCUUUUGGUCUAAAGUGUGGUCUUUGUACACUCAUCCGUCCUUCGACGACACCGCAUUCCAUUCCACCCACAUUGCACGUUCCAUUUCUUUAGCAUUUUCCGGCCGCAGAGCCCCCUCCGGAGUAGCAGAACGCGCAGGGGCAUGGAGGAGAGCAGGAGAGUAAAAGGAGGAGAAGGUGAGGAGGAAGAGGAGCCACAGCCACAGCCACAGCAGGCGGAAAGGAGGGUUGGCCCGGUGGUGGGCCCGCCCCCCAGCUGAGAAGGGGAAGAGGGAGGUGGGAGGAGGAUCUCCUCUCACGUCAAAGGUGGGGGAAAGCAUAAAGGGAGGGAAGGAGGAGAAGGUGGAGAGUGGGAGCUAGCUAGGUAGCUGAGUACACAAGCCCAAAGCACCAGGGGGAGAAAGAAAGCUUCAGAGAGAGAGCAAGGGAUCGAUAUAGUGCGAGUGUGAGAGUCAGUGAGUGAGAGAUAUAACAACUCCCAUUGCUGAGAGCAUCAGGUUCUUGUACAACCACCACACUACACAUUGCUCCUUUCGUUUCCCAGUCCACUGGUAGUAGUAGUGGAGGUGCCCUGCUGUUGAAGCUAGCCAUGGCAUUGCAGGAAGACGAAGAGGAGGAUGGAGACGGAGAAGAAGACGGCGAGGAAGAGGGGAUGAUUAGGGUGUGGGGGAGCUGAUUUCUCCCUUGUCCUGAGGCGCGCUGUCCACUUGCGAGAGUAGUAAGAUAUUGGCACAAUAGGCUCAAUCACUUUUUUUUCCCUUUCUUUCUUUCACUUAUUUUGCUGGGCUUGCUUCCCCCCCCCCCCCCCCCCCCCCGUCUCCUUCAAUCGAUUACAUACACUUUCUUGUGUAAUUUGUUCGUUCUGCUGCCGUUAUUGUCGUCCGUGGUGGGUGGUUUAAUCCCUGAUUCGGAAUGGAAUGGAAAGAGCAGAGGUUGGUAAAACGAGAAAAAA